GCUGGGUGGAUUAGUGGCGAACGGGUGAGUAACACGUGAGUAACCUGCCCUUGACUUCGGGAUAACUCCGGGAAACCGGGGCUAAUACUGGAUAUGAGCCGUCCUCGCAUGGGGGUGGUUGGAAAGUUUUUCGGUCAGGGAUGGGCUCGCGGCCUAUCAGCUUGUUGGUGGGGUGAUGGCCUACCAAGGCGACGACGGGUAGCCGGCCUGAGAGGGCGACCGGCCACACUGGGACUGAGACACGGCCCAGACUCCUACGGGAGGCAGCAGUGGGGAAUAUUGCACAAUGGGCGCAAGCCUGAUGCAGCGACGCCGCGUGAGGGAUGAAGGCCUUCGGGUUGUAAACCUCUUUCAGCAGGGAAGAAGCGCAAGUGACGGUACCUGCAGAAGAAGCGCCGGCUAACUACGUGCCAGCAGCCGCGGUAAUACGUAGGGCGCAAGCGUUGUCCGGAAUUAUUGGGCGUAAAGAGCUCGUAGGCGGUUUGUCGCGUCUGGUGUGAAAACUCGAGGCUCAACCUCGAGCUUGCAUCGGGUACGGGCAGACUAGAGUGCGGUAGGGGAGACUGGAAUUCCUGGUGUAGCGGUGGAAUGCGCAGAUAUCAGGAGGAACACCGAUGGCGAAGGCAGGUCUCUGGGCCGCAACUGACGCUGAGGAGCGAAAGCAU
rnacentral:rRNA from 1 species